UUUCCUUUUUCCGCAUAAGCCGCUUUCCGACCGGAGGGAUUUGUGCAGUUCCAAGAACACAACGUUCCUGGAAGCCUUUUUUUAGUCUUUGUUAAGACUGGCCCAAUUUUGGGGAUUUUUAAGUUCCUCUGACCACAGUUCCUGUAACUCUUUCAGCUCCUACUUCAGGGCAGGGUCUUUUCGCUGUUCCCUUUUCCACAUAGGAACCUGGGUCAACGUGAGUCGAGUCUUCGG